GAGAAGAAGAACCAGUCGCCGCCACCCGCCGUCGCACCGGAGGGUUUUUUGACCGCCACACGAGGUAAAUUUUCUCCCCUUGGCUCAUUUUUCGAAGCUGAAUCCGCCUAUGGCCAAAUCGGAGCUAAAUCAUCGGCCAAUCGGCUGGAAAACACCGCCGAAGUCCAGCAGCGCCACUGCGGCUUCCCUCGAUUUUUGCCUUCGAUGAGGCCCUUUUCGGUUCCCGUUCGAUGCAAUUUUUACACCACUGUGAUCACCGUCCUUUUCUCUACAGGUUGACAAGAGCAAAACAUCAAACCGCGACUCGCGCCGGAGAAGCUACUACACCCGAGAGCUCUGCCGCUGGUAAGUCUC
rnacentral:lncRNA from 1 species